AUCACACUCUAAGAAAUGUUCGGUAAAUUUUACCGUCAUUUUAGGGGUAAAAAAUUAAAAAAUAAGGUCGGUAAACUGAUUCACCGACAAAUGUCGGUAAUAAUCACCGACAUUGGAGGCGUGGCAUUAGUCAAUGUUGGGCGCGCACACUGGUAAAGAAGAGCAGCCAAUCAGACGCUAUAUUUCAAACGCGUAAUUUAUCACGCGCGGUUUUUUGUUGCUUUACUCCUUAAUUUGUCCGUUUGAUUUGACGAAUUCCAGACUUUUGGACUUCGAUAUUUGGUCAGCCGACAUUUAUAUCUUGGUCGCUUUUGUUAUUACUGCAGUAAUGCGUUGGCAGUAUUUCUCUAAGCCUAAGGCAAUGCAUCUUGGAUUCAAUAAUGUCAGUGCAGGUGUUGUGUUAUUUAGUGCUGGUUAUUAAUGUAUUGUUCAGUGUGAUUAUGGGGCUGUCUGGAAGUAGGGUAAGAUCUAUACCGUACCAAUUACUGAAUUAAUAUAUAUAUGAAUACAUACAGACAUACCGGUACUGCAGUACUGGCUAUAACAGUCUGACAGUACAGUAGUAUACGGUACUGGUAUAAGGUUGAUUGGAUGCAGAUCCAUGUUACGCCUGUCGAUACUUAACACAGCCAGAGCUUAAUUCGUAUUACCAAGUCUGAAUUUUUUUUUGUCAGUAGACUGGCAAAUGUCAGAAUGUUGAAAUGACAAUACAAUAUCUGAAUAUGCCCUCUUUACAGCUCUAGACUUGAAAUGUUAACAUCUAAUUACUGAAUCAAGAUAAACCGUCAAAUUACCAACAGCUUUAUGAUGAUCGCAAACCCAGACUGGACUACAGGGAACACAUGAACAGGCAGACAGGGGAAGGGGUGACGUUGCUCUACACCCAGAAACCGUGGCUUGAAGAAUAUGGCAUUAGAAUAAACAGUGUUUUCGCUUUAGAAACUGAAGAAUCUGAUUAAGCAGGCAUGAACAAAUUGUCUGCCCCAACUCUGAACUGUGAAAAAUUCAAUGUCAUAGGCUUCAAAAUAUUUGAGAUUCUUACUAACAUGUUAUUUCAAGGAAGAAGUAUUUGAGGUACCUCUUCCAUCUGAUCUACAAAGUUUGGUAAUACUGGAAAAGUCUGUAUCGAUUGAUUGCCCACAGAUUUUUGUCCUUGAACUCCAAGAGGAAAAGAAAAUAUAAAAGUUUAUAGAAAGAUAACUUGAAGUUAUGAAGAAGAAAAUACCAGUUCGUAAGAGUUCGUAAAAGCAAAUGGAUAAUGCAAUACAAUCAGCAUGGGCAACACUAACCCGGAAAGACUCCCCUUCUGCCAUAGACUAUUCUCUCACAAGGACUGUCUAUAGAGACUUGUUUAAAGAAACUAUGUGAACGGAUACCCUGCUAGCAUAAACUUCUUCAACAAGAAGUUUCUGUUUACCUCGCAUUUCUAACUUUUCACUAUACAAUUUCUCAUUUUUCCAAGUUUAAUCAUUCAUUUCACGUUCACAUUUAUUUUUUGAAUAAACCUUGUUUCAUAGAAUAA